rnacentral:rRNA from 1 species
AGUGAACGCUGGCGGUAGGCCUAACACAUGCAAGUCGAACGGCAGCACAGUAAGAGCUUGCUCUUACGGGUGGCGAGUGGCGGACGGGUGAGGAAUACAUCGGAAUCUACUUUUUCGUGGGGGAUAACGUAGGGAAACUUACGCUAAUACCGCAUACGACCUACGGGUGAAAGCAGGGGAUCUUCGGACCUUGCGCGAUUGAAUGAGCCGAUGUCGGAUUAGCUAGUUGGCAGGGUAAAGGCCCACCAAGGCGACGAUCCGUAGCUGAUCUGAGAGGAUGAUCAGCCACACUGGAACUGAGACACGGUCCAGACUCCUACGGGAGGCAGCAGUGGGGAAUAUUGGACAAUGGGCGCAAGCCUGAUCCAGCCAUACCGCGUGGGUGAAGAAGGCCUUCGGGUUGUAAAGCCCUUUUGUUGGGAAAGAAAAGCAGCAGGUUAAUACCCCGCUGUUCUGACGGUACCCAAAGAAUAAGCACCGGCUAACUUCGUG